UACGUAGGGUGCGAGCGUUGUCCGGAAUUAUUGGGCGUAAAGAGCUUGUAGGCGGUUUGUCGCGUCUGCCGUGAAAAUUCGAGGCUCAACCUCGAACUUGCGGUGGGUACGGGCAGACUAGAGUGUGGUAGGGGAGACGGGAAUUCCUGGUGUAGCGGUGAAAUGCGCAGAUAUCAGGAGGAACACCGAUGGCGAAGGCAGGUCUCUGGGCCACUACUGACGCUGAGAAGCGAAAGCAUGGGGAGCGAACAGG
rnacentral:rRNA from 1 species